ensembl:lncRNA
CCGAAGUCGUCCUGUUGCCAGGCCUUCAACCAAACACAUCCUGCUUGGCAGCCGCUGUGUACUCAGUGUUCUAACCUUUCCCUGAACCAGUCAUCUUAAGUACAGCCUUGCAAAAUGGCGUUACUGCUGCUAAGCUGGGGUCUUUCAAUGCCUUUGUCAACAGAGAGGGCCUCUGUGGUAUGCCUUUGAGGUGAUUUCUGAGCUCUUUGUAACUUGAGCACAGUGAGAAAGAUAUGAAAUACUAACAGUGAAAAUAUAAUUUUUUGAGAGGUAGGACUAAAAGCAUAAAAUAACUCCACAGGAUGGGGUCAGGUUGAGUGAGCAUGAUACUCCAAAGUCCCACCUCUUCUGUUCUAGGGACUUUUUAUUCAUCAAAAUAUAUGGAUAUGGAGUACUUUUAGAAGGGGUUAUCAUUUUAGGCUGUGGCAGAUGAUUCACUGGUUUUGGAGCAGGUUUGUAUAAUCCUUGAGAUGGUCCAGAACUAUUCUCUAAUGUGUUUUCUUGAGUGUUGAAUUCUCAGAUUAAUGUCUAUGUGGCUUAUAGUCUUCUGUGUGUGGCUUUAUUUUUCUACUUUUGAGAGACCCCGGCUUAGCAACAGUAACGCCAUUUUACAAGGCUGUACUUAGAUGACUGGUUCAGGGAAGGGUCAAAACACUGAGAACACUGCGGCUGCCAAACAGGAUGUUUGUAGUUGAGUGCCUGACAACAAAAGAAAGAAAUGUAAAGCCCUGGGAGAGGUCCCACACCCUAGUGGAGGGCCAAGUCAGCCAUUAUGUUCCAGGAAGGCGGCCAGGGAACUUGCCCUUUGGCUGAACCCUCGCCUCAUUAGAAUCCACCAAUUAUGUCCCUGUAACCAUGCAUCUGCUUCUGUAUGCUUGCUUCUGCUCCCCAGAACCCUAUAAAAAAACCCGUCCCUGGUUCCGCGGGGCGCGCCAGUCCCUCGAGUAGACUGAAGCGCCCACAAGAGCCUGUGUAUCCUGAAAGUAAACCCUCUUGCUGAUUGCAUCCGGUGGUCUCGGUCUGGUCAAUGGGCUUGAGGGUCUCCUUCCUGAGAAAAAGUUCUACUUUUCAUUUGGGGUCUCAUCUGGAAUCCGGAGAUCCUCCACCCAGGAGCCACCGACUACCCACCGGGAGGUUAAAGAUCAGGUCUUCCACAAGGGACCACAUGGACACCCUGACCAGGUGCCCUAUAUUGUCACUUGGGAGAGUCUUGCAUUUGCCCCCCCCCGCCCCCCGUAUCGUCUACCUACAGGCUGGGCUGAGGAGGUGGAAGCAGAGCUGCCUGCCAGACCAGUUGCCGGGCCGCAGCCUGAGGCGGUUUCUUCCCCUGAGGCUGGGAGGCUCCGGGGCCCGCGUGAGGUGGCGACGGACUCCACCUCCCAGGCUUUCCCGUUUACACAAGGGGCCGGUGGCCAGACCCAAUACUGGCCGUUCUCAGCGGCCGACAUUUAUAACUGGAAACAGCAUGACUCCCCCCCCCCCCUUUUUCCAAGGAUCUGAUGGCCCUUAACGAUUUAAUAGAAUCUGUUUUAAUGCUAUUUGCCCUGUUCGGCAGAUCCGUAUCUUCUGGACUCUUGUUUUCUUGCCAUCCAAUUUGAGAUGCUUGUUAGUAACUGUUACAGGUCUUCUUUACCACUGAGGAAAGAUAGAAUCCUACUAAAGGCCAGAAAAAAAAAGUUCCAGACACGGAUGAAAGGCCCUCACUUCUGCCUGUUGGAUUCAAUACGCCUAAAGGUAGGGAGUGCUCCAGGUCUGCCCCCAGGCUCCAAGGGUGGGUCUCUGAGGGGUUAGAAAAUGCCCCACCAAUCUGGCUAAGAUAAAGAAAAGAUAUGAAGAGAAAGUUACAGAAAUUUAAGUUAGAGAGCUAAAGAGAGAUAAAAGACAAGAGAGGAACAUAUACUGGCCACAGUAGUUAGGGAACCUAAGAAGACAGUACUUGACAACAGAAGAGAAUUCCUGGCUAAAAAUCAGUGUGCCUAAUACAAAGAAAAAGGACACUGGGUCAGGGAUUGCCCCAGAAAGAACAAGAGGGGCCACUGGAGAGCCUCUUGGUCCUAGAGUGCUGGCUAUGCGCAGAGAUAAAAGGGAAGCCCGCCCAGUUAUUUUAUGGAUACAGAGACCCAACACUCUGUGUUCCUAUGCCCCAGUGUCAGUAUCCAAAGACCUUGGGUACAGGGGACUACUGGCAACAAGCAAUACUUAUGGACUACCCGAAGAACAGUGGACCUUGGCGUGGGCCAGGUAACCCACUAGUUCAUAGUCAUCCCUGACUGCCCCAUCCCUUGCUCAUGAGAAAUUUGCUCUCCAAAAUGGCUUGUGUGGGCUGAAAUGGCUGGGUGAGGCCAUGUGUAUACAUAUCUGCAGACUGUGUAUGUGGAGCUUAAGACCUGUCUCAGUGCACCAGUACCUGAUGCUGGGAGAUGUAUGGCUUAGUGCCAUUCUGCCUGGAACACACCGUUCCUGCCAGCUGGGCACUAACAAUUAUCACCCAAUCCAGGACUUAAACUGUGAUAGAGUGGCUGAUGUUUUGCCUCUGAAUAGAACGUCCCAAAAGAUGGGACCACUGGUCAGCUGCCAUGGACUAGAUUCUCCACCGGUUGGGGGCAAUCUGAUCACCUUGCUGCCUAAUCCUGACCUGGAGCCACCAUAACAUGAGUAUCAAGUACUGACAGCCAAUGGGUGGCAAAAAAGACCUCUGCAACUGGCUGAUUUAUCCCUGCUAAAGGCCGAGGCUACCUUGUCUACCGAUGAGAACAGUUCUCUUCCUAAAAUUCAGAGAUAAGUGCAUGCUACAAUGAAGGACAACACAAAUGUCAUCUGGAAUGGACAAACCUAUACCCCCCAGCACAUCAGCGCCACAGAUGUCUUACCAUCUCUUGGAUGCCCUGAUGAAGCCAACAACUGUGAGUAUUAUUCAUUGCCCAGGACAUCAGGAAGGAAGAGAUUCAGUGACAUGGGGCAGUAACAAAGCAGAUAAAGUGGCUCGGGAAAUGGCUAUACAGGAGCCUAUCCUGGUUACAGGCCUACAAGAGACAGCCACUGGGAACUGGGAUUGGACUAAGGGAUGGCCUCACUUAGAAUGUACAACAGAAGAAAAGGCCCAAAUUGCUUAAAAAAAAGACAAUGACACACUUGAGGAAAAACUAUAUUCCUCAGAGAACAAACAAAAGACUCACUUUGCCAAAUACAGAAAUGGACUCACUUAGAUAAGAAGCUUGUCCAAGUAGUUAAGGUGUAUAUAAAAGACUUUAAGAUUCUAGCCAGAGAGACAAUAAAAAAUAUAAGAUAUGUCAGUAAGUAAAUGCUUAGCAAACAAACAGGGCAAAGAGACCUAGAGAGUUUAAUAAAAAGUCGAAGUAAACUAUGCUGAGAAAAGUAUGAUCACAAGUAUCUCCUAGUGUUUGUAGAUACCUUUCCAGGAAUAGAUAAAAGCUUUCCUCACUAAGCAAGAGACGGCCUCGAUAGUCAUCCAGAAGAUACUAGAAGAAAUCUUCCCCUGAUUUGGAAUGCCCAAGGUAAUCUGGUCAGACAAUGGCCCUACUUUCAUUGCCAAGGUAAGCCAGAGUGUGGCCAAGUAUUUAGAGGUCGAUUAAAAAUUACAUUGUAUCUACAGACCUCAAAGUUCAAGACAGAGUAAAUAGAUAAAGCUCUAAAAGAGACCCUGACCAAAUUAACCAUGGAGACUGGCACAGACUGGGUGAUACUCCUUCCCUCUCGCUCUCUUCAGAGCAAGAAAUCUCCCUUCUAGAUUCAGCCUAACCCCCUUUGAGAUCUUAUAUGGGGCCUCAGCUCCUCUGACUGUAUUAGAUGAUGUUACUGAACCAACAUGUUAUAGUAAUAAGGAUUUGUAUUCCAGGCUAAAAGACCUACAGGUGAUACAGAAAAAAAUCUGCUCACAGCUGACAACAGCCUAUACCCCGGGGACCCCCGAGACAUCUCAUCAGUUCCAGGUCGGAGACUGCAGCUACAUACAGCGACAUGGAGCCCAGACACUCAAGCCUCGCUAGAAAGGACCGUACCUGGUGCUGCUGACCACCCUGACAGCCAUCAAGUCUCAGCCCUCACCAGCUGUAUACUAGCUGUUGGGGCUGAGAGCUGGGACCUAGAGGGACACUCAGAUCUUCAAAGCUCCCUAGACUUGCACAUCAGACAUCAGAGACGUGACUGGGAAGUUGCUAUAAUGCUCACUUGAAGAGUGUGCUUUAGAAACAAGAAUUUCAUGUUUGCCCUGGGUUCCAUCGAGAUAGAUAUAGACAUAGGCUUGAUUUCUAUUACAAAUGAUAUAACAUUACAUAUGUUAGUACUCCUAACACUUCUUGAGACUGUGCCUCAGGGAUCACAAUCUAUAUAAGUUUAGAAGUUCUAAAAGACAGUUAUGACCUUGGUGUAUAGGUUCAGAUAGUGUCCAGAUUAGAAUCUUGAUGCUAAAGACUUAAUAAGACAAAAAAAAAAAGAGUUGAGAAUUACUUAAGGCUAUCUAGGUGCUACAAGGACAGCACAAGGACAUCUGCUGUUGCCCUACAAUACAAGGCUUAUGGAGAAUUCAGACCUGCCAUUGACUCAGAUAUAAAAAGAGUAAAAAAGACUUUUUAGAUGACCUCCAAGAAUACCUAACCUCCCUCUCAGAGGUAGUCCUUCAGAAUAAGAAAAGAUUAGACCUGAUAUUCCUUAAAGAAAGAGUCUGUGUGCUACACUUAAAGAAGCUAUACAGAUCAGACAGGAAUAAUAAGAGAUAAUAUGGCUAAGCUCCGAGAACGCUUAGCCCAGAGAUAAAAGUUGUUUGAUUCCCAACAAGGGUGGUUUGAGGGGUGGUUUAACUGAUCCCCUUGGUUUGCUACCCUCCUGUCUACCCUGAUGGGACCCCUACUUAUUCUCCUAAUUCUCCUAUUUGGACCCUGUAUCCUUAACAGGCUGGUACAGUUCAUGAGGGAUAGACUUUCAGUCAUUCAGACUCUCGUACUGACACAACAGUACCAUAGGCUGAGACAACAAGAAACAAAGAUCUCUUAACCAAGUUAAGUGAAAGAUUUCACUCAAAGUUAGCAGAAAAAAAAUGAGGAAAUGAGAGACCCUAGCUUAGCAACAGUAACACCAUUUUACAAGGCUGUACUUAGAUGACUGGUUCAGGGAAGGGUCAAAACACUGAGAACACUGCGGCUGCCAAACAGGAUGUUUGUAGUUGAGUGCCUGACAACAAAAGAAAGAAAUGUAAAGCCCUGGGAGAGGUCCCACACCCUAGUGGAGGGCCAAGUCAGCCAUUAUGUUCCAGGAAGGCGGCCAGGGAACUUGCCCCUGGGCUGAACCCUCACCUCCUUAGAAUCCACCAAUUAUGUCCCUGUAACCACGCAUCUGCUUCUGUAUGCUUGCUUCUGCUCCCCAGAACCCUAUAAAAAAACCCGUCCCUGGUUCCGCGGGGCGCGCCAGUCCCUCGAGUUGACUGAAGCGCCCACAGGUGCCUGUGUAUCCUGAAAGUAAACCCUCUUGCUGAUUGUAUCUCUCUGAGAACUUUUCACUUUGUCUGUUCUUGAGUGACAUGUACUUGAAAAUCUUUAUAAGAAGCUGAGGCACAGGAAAUCUCAUCCCCAGUAACUGCUAACAAUACAAACACAUAUUAUCUCUAUUAGGGAUCACGAUUUCUCACUUUAAAUUAUCUAGCUGACACUGUACUUGAAUCUUGUUCCAGAAUUGAUCUGAAAACCUGAUAUGAUAGUAGGAGUUUAAUAUCAUCUUGGUAAGAAGAAUGCAAUUGAUUUAGGAUUUUGAUUGACAAAAUUUGAAGAAUAGGACUAGAAAAAACAUAAAGACGGACCCUGGGAAGAUAAGCAACCAAGACAUCUGAUAUCAAACUAUAUAACAUGAGUCCUGUGAUUCAGAUAGUUGCUCAAUUUUCUGGACAUUACCAAUUAAAUUUUAUCUAGAAUUUCUGAAUAAUCAUGAUUUUUAAACAUAAAACAUCAUUCUUCUUCAAGAAAGAGACACAGUCUUAAUGCUCAGUAAAUUGUGUUGAUGUUUUCCUUAGGAAUGGUUUUUAGAGAGCAACACUUUGUCUCAGCAACAGUGAGGGUUGUUUAGGGAUUUCCAUGGAUUCCCUUGGCCAACAGCUCAAUUGAAAGCAACUGAAUGUUGCCACUCGUGGCUUCACCUGGCAUCAAGAGACAGUCAAAUUCAUGUGAAAGAUUUUCCUUUCUUUUAUUGUUUCUUAACUCUAUCGAUCUCCAUUACAUUCUUAUACCUUUUUAUAUUAUACAUCCUUGAUGGUUCAUUUAUAGUUUUCUUUUUUCAGUUAAAGUUUAUAAAUAAUUUUAUUAAUAAAAUAAGGUUUCAAUAUAAACAAAGGAAUCCUUAUCUUAAACACUGGGACGCCAUACUAGCAGUAUUUUCUAUAAAUUUAAAUUUGUCAGAAAGUCAAGCCCUUUUAUAACAUAUUUAAAGCCUUGUUUAAAAAAUUAUUUCUGUUUCUUAAUUUGGACUCACCAAAUGGCAGGACAAAGUUUUGGAAUUUGUACCUUUAUUUUGUAAUUUUCCCCUCCACUUUAGUUGCCUGAUUGUCUCCUCAAGCAAUCAUAUUAAUUUCUGAGGCAGACAUAGUAGCAUGGGUAUGUUACUAUUUCAAUUCUCAGACUAGCAAGGCCUCACAGGACUCUCCAUUCAAAUUAAAGGUAGCAAAUUUGGGUCUCACCGACUUGAUCUGGGGGCAACUAGCUGAAACAGUAGGCAAACUCUCUGCCACACAAGACAGAAUAUCUGAGUUAGGUCUUUGAAAUACAUUUGAAAGCAGAAGGAAAGAACAAACUCUGCAAAGUUGUUCCCAGACCUCCAUAGUUAUUACAUGCAUCACAGAACUGUACUAUAUACAUACUCAGGAAUGGUAUAUAUAUGGAUAUUGUGGCAGUUCUAGAUAUUUUUGAG